GACGAACGCUGGCGGCGUGCUUGACACAUGCAAGUCGAACGGAAAGGCCUGCUUUCCCUUGUGGAUUGCGGGUACUCGAGUGGCGAACGGGUGAGUAACACGUGGGUGAUCUGCCCCCAACUUGGGUAUAAGCCUGGGAAACUGGGUCUAAUUCCCGAUAGGACUGCAGGGUGGUGCCUGUGGUGGAAAACGAUUUUCUAGUGGUUGGGGAUGAGCUCGCGGCCUAUCAGCUUGUUGGUGGGGUAAUGGCCUACCAAGGCGGCGACGGGUAGCCGGCCUGAGAGGGUGGACGGCCACAUUGGGACUGAGAUACGGCCCAGACUCCUACGGGAGGCAGCAGUGGGGAAUAUUGCACAAUGGGCGGAAGCCUGAUGCAGCGACGCCGCGUGGGGGAUGACGGCCUUCGGGUUGUAAACUCCUUUCGACCGCGAGGAAGCCACCUGGUUGGAAGGGUGGUGACGGUAGUGGUAGAAGAAGCACCGGCUAACUACGUG
rnacentral:rRNA from 1 species